CUCCUCUUUCAGGAGACAGGAGGAAACCCAUUCAAGAUAUCAAUCAAGUCACAUUUUACAGGAAUCAUCUGUGCUCCAGUAGUAGAGUCCCACUAUCCACUUCUUCACACCUGGUCACAUCCUGAAGUUAUCCAGGGAAAAAUCUCAAUUGAGGAUGUGCCGCAACGCAAGAAAUACACUUGCAGUAUGAUCAUGGACAUGCCAUCUCCAGCAUAACAUUCACUAGUUAUGGUACUCCUGGGAGCAACUGUCAGAAGGUCUAUGUUGGCAACUGCCAUGCACCUAAUUCAUUCUCUAUUGUCUCUGAUGUAAGUGUGGG